AAACCAUGUUGUGGGCAUUUUCUAAGUAGUCCUUUGAAUCUUUCCCAUGCUUCAUAUAAAGAUUAACUUUCUGUUAUCAAAAAAAAAAAAAAGAUUAACUUUCUUU